UACAAAUGUUUCAAGAAUUUCUGAGUCCUUCAUGGACAGGUGCAAAAAAAUAAAUCCUCUUUUGCAAUCCAGAACUCAUUGUUCAGUAUGAGUUUUGACACAUAUAAGAAGGAAUAUU
ensembl:snoRNA